UACGGAGGGUGCAAGCGUUAAUCGGAAUUACUGGGCGUAAAGCGCACGCAGGUGGCUGAGUCAGUCGAUUGUGAAAGCCCUGGGCUUAACCUGGGAAUUGCAGUCGAUACUACUCAGCUAGAGUAUGGGAGAGGGCAGUGGAAUUCCCGGUGUAGCGGUGAAAUGCGUAGAUAGUCGGGAGGAACAUCAGUGGCGAAGGCGGCUGCCUGGCCCAAUACUGACACUCAGGUGCGACAGCGUGGGGAGCAAACAG
rnacentral:rRNA from 1 species